AUUGAACGCUGGCGGCAGGCCUAACACAUGCAAGUCGAGCGGAUGAAGGGAGCUUGCUCCUGGAUUCAGCGGCGGACGGGUGAGUAAUGCCUAGGAAUCUGCCUGGUAGUGGGGGAUAACGUCCGGAAACGGGCGCUAAUACCGCAUACGUCCUGAGGGAGAAAGUGGGGGAUCUUCGGACCUCACGCUAUCAGAUGAGCCUAGGUCGGAUUAGCUAGUUGGUGGGGUAAAGGCCUACCAAGGCGACGAUCCGUAACUGGUCUGAGAGGAUGAUCAGUCACACUGGAAGUGAGACGCGGUCCAGACUCCUACGGGAGGCAGCAGUGGGGAAUGUUAGACAAUGGGCGAAAGCCUGAUCCAGCCAGGCCGCGUGUGUGAAGAAGGUCUUCGGAUUGUAAAGCACUUUAAGUUGGGAGGAAGGGCAGUAAGUUAAUACCUUGCUGUUUUGACGUUACCAGCAGAAUAAGCACCGGCUAACUUCGUG
rnacentral:rRNA from 1 species